CUUUCUUUGCUGACGAGCGGCGGACGGGUGAGUAAUGCCUAGGGAACUGCCCAGUCGAGGGGGAUAACAGUUGGAAACGACUGCUAAUACCGCAUACGCCCUACGGGGGAAAAGAGGGGACCUUCGGGCCUUCUGCGAUUGGAUGUACCUAGGUGGGAUUAGCUAGUAGGUGAGGUAAUGGCUCACCUAGGCGACGAUCCCUAGCUGUUCUGAGAGGAUGAUCAGCCACACUGGGACUGAGACACGGCCCAGACUCCUACGGGAGGCAGCAGUGGGGAAUAUUGCACAAUGGGCGCAAGCCUGAUGCAGCCAUGCCGCGUGUGUGAAGAAGGCCUUCGGGUUGUAAAGCACUUUCAGCGAGGAGGAAAGGUUAAGUGUUAAUAGCACUUAGCUGUGACGUUACUCGCAGAAGAAGCACCGGCUAACUUCGUGCCAGCAGCCGCGGUAAUACGAGGGGUGCA
rnacentral:rRNA from 1 species